ACCACCCUCUCCUCAAAGAGAGAGAGAGAGAGCGAGAGAGAGAGAGGAGGAGGAAGAGGAGGAGGAGGAACUCAGCAUCCAGGCAAAGCGGGUUGAGCAGCAGUCGAGGAUCCAAAGACGGUGAAGUGAGGUGAUCUUAAAAAAACUGAUGCCUUCAAGAAUUAUUUGUAGUGUUUAUAUGUUAUUGUAUGACUAUGAUCCAAGAGAGGAAGGAGAAGAGUAGCUUUUCACUUGUCAGAUAGAUUUCAUUGCAAAGCUAUAGAGGAGUAUGAGUAGGAGGAGAGGCUUCUUGCAUCCUAUUUGAGGAGGAGGAGAAGUUUCUUGCUUCCUGAGCAAUCCAUGCUUUUGAUCUUCUUAGACAAUCUAUUUGAGGAGGAGGAGGAGGAGGAGAAGGAGAGGCUUUCUUCAUCCUGAAGGAUAAGGGCUGCCUUCUUAAGUUUCCAGGCAAUUACCGUCUGAGAAAAGGGAAUGAUGCCACCGCCACUGCGAACCUGCAGCCGGCACCACACUCCUCGAUCCUCCCGUCACCGACCACCACCAACAGCUCCAAGCUGGGGAGUCUCCGUCGACUGCACUGCCGCUGGCGACUACGAUGAGUUCGGGUCUGGCGCAACAGCAGAUCUUGACUGGCGAACAUCAACGUAACACGGCAGCGGCGCAGCGGAUUGCAGGUGACAGAGAGCAAACGAUGCUGAGGAGCUAUGAGCAACGACAGCUUGUCUCUGAGGGCGACGAUGGGCAUCAUCAAAUGGCUGGUGGCGCUACAAUGGUGGCCACCACAGGGUCGUUAUCAGGGCAGACAUUGCUCCCACCACGGCCAUUUUAAGGGGCUGUUCUCAGUGCAACAGCAAGAUUUCUAUACACCAAAGCAUCAGAUGCAAGAUCGGGCAAAACGAGAGCAGUGGUUUAGGCAGCUGCUCACCACCGACGCGAAGCAGAUUCGCGAGCUCCUCAAGCAGUCGCCUUUCUCUGCUCCACUCCCAUCAGGCUCCAGGUCCGCGCCGGGUCCGGCUCAUCGGUCGUCCUCCAGUCCGGCAUGGUUUUCCCCAUCAAGGUUCAUAGGAUCGUGGAGACAGAGAAGAGAAGGGAACGGAGUUGAAGGUUGAUGUGCCUGUGGUCUUCAAGGGGGAGGUUGUCUGCCCUGGGUUGAAGAAAGGAGGUUUUCUUCACAAGAUCAGGACCAGUUUAAAAUACCUCUGCCCAUCAGAAAACAUACCUCCAAAAAUUGAGGUGGACUUAGCAAAUCUGGACAUUGGUGAUAAGAAGAGUGUUUAUGCAUGAUGUUGCAGUGCAACCUUCACUGAAGCUUUUGAAUAAAAAUGACACCAUGCCAAUCUGUAAGAAUUUAGCAAUUAAGCCCAACGAGUCUGAGCCUAAGGUAAAGUCAGAAGGCACAGAAAUGACAGAAGUUGAAGAAACCAAAUGAAUACUCUACUCUUAAAGCCAUAAGACCCAGCAAAACUCCUUGAAUAUUCAAGAGCUGGUAUUGUUUGCAGAGCUCAGGUAUACUUUGAUUGUAGUUCCGAACCUUGUAGAUCGGGAUUUGUCUGUAAUUUUAACAAUUUUCUACAUAAUGCUGGAUCCUUAGAUGGA